rnacentral:rRNA from 1 species
AGAGUUUGAUCCUGGCUCAGGAUGAACGCUAGCGGUAGGCUUAACACAUGCAAGUCGAGGGGUAACAGGGGUUUCGGCCCGCUGACGACCGGCGCACGGGUGAGUAACACGUAUGCAACCUGCCUUUAACCGGAGGAUAGCUCCGAGAAAUCGGAAUUAAUACUCCAUAAUAUCUUAUUAUCGCAUGAUAUAAAGAUUAAAGCUCCGGCGGUUAAAGAUGGGCAUGCGGGACAUUAGCUUGUUGGUGAGGUAACGGCUCACCAAGGCAACGAUGUCUAUGGGGUCUUAAAGGAUGGUCCCACACACUGGUACUGAGACACGGACCAGACUCCUACGGGAGGCAGCAGUGAGGAAUAUUGGGCAAUGGGCGAAAGCCUGACCCAGCCAUACCGCGUGCAGGAUGACGGCUCUAUGAGUUGUAAACUGCUUUUGUACGGGAAGAAAAAUCUCUACGUGUAGAGAACUGACGGUACCGUACGAAUAAGGAUCGGCUAACUCCAUGCCAGCAGCCGCGGUAAUACGGAGGAUCCAGGCGUUAUCCGGAUUUAUUAGGUUUAAAGGGUACGUAGGCGGAAAAGUAAGUCAGUGGUGAAAUCCUGCAGCCCAACUGUAGAACUGCCAUUGAAACUGUUUUUCUUGAGUAUAGUUGAGGUGGGCGGAAUGUGUCAUGUAGCGGCGAAAUGCUUAGAUAUGACACAGAACACCGAUUGCGUAGGCAGCUCACUAAACUAUCACUGACGCUGAGGUACGAAAGCGUGGGGAGCGAACAGGAUUAGAUACCCUGGUAGUCCACGCCGUAAACGAUGAUUACUCGUUGUGUGCGAUAUAUUGUACGCGACUGAACGAAAGUAUUAAGUAAUCCACCUGGGAGUACGUUGGCAACAAUGAAACUCAAAGGAAUUGACGGGGGCCCGCACAAGCGGAGGAACAUGUGGUUUAAUUCGAUGAUACGCGAGGAACCUUACCUGGACUUAAAUGCAAAACGACCGGUGCCGAAAGGUGCUUUCCCUUCGGGGCGGAUUGCAAGGUGCUGCAUGGUUGUCGUCAGCUCGUGCCGUGAGGUGUCGGGUUAAGUCCCAUAACGAGCGCAACCCCUAUUGUUAGUUGCUAACAGGUAAUGCUGAGGACUCUAACGAAACUGCCGGUGUAAACCGUGAGGAAGGUGGGGAUGACGUCAAAUCAGCACGGCCCUUACGUCCAGGGCUACACACGUGUUACAAUGGCCGAUACAGUGGGCAGCUACUUGGCAACAAGAUGCUAAUCUCCAAAGUCGGUCUCAGUUCGGAUCGAAGUCUGCAACUCGACUUCGUGAAGUUGGAUUCGCUAGUAAUCGUAUAUCAGCAAUGAUACGGUGAAUACGUUCCCGGGCCUUGUACACACCGCCCGUCAAGCCAUGGAAGCUGGGGGUACCUGAAGUCUGUAACCGUAAGGAGCGGCCUAGGGUAAAACUAGUGACUGGGGCUAAGUCGAAACAAGGUA